rnacentral:lncRNA from 1 species
UUCUGAGGAGGCAAAAAGAAAGAAAGAAAAAGAAAAAAAGUAAGAAGAAAAAGAAGAAAAAGAAAAAACAAAUAAAGAAAAAAAAAAGAGAGAUGGAAAAAUUAGAAUAAAAAUGACCCUCAAUUCUUUAAGCUUCAUAAGAUUUCCAGUGCCCAAAAUCUUGGUCCAUACUCAUUUUCCAACCAUAUGCAAUCCAAUAAUGAGGACUUCAUUUGUGUCUUGGGAUCAUUCAUUUGACACUUGCACAUGUCCACCUCUCUACAAAGUGUGUGUUCCAU